rnacentral:lncRNA from 1 species
GGUUAUGUCAGGCUUGCUACGGUUCCCGGCGGCCUUAUGCCGAUCUGGAUCCUAGCGCCGGUAGCGGUCCGGAUUUCCGGGCUGUUACAGAGUGGUAUCAGAGCCCUAGGUUAAUAUGGUCGGACCUAGAGUGUCGGGCUCAUAGAUGUUAUAGCAGGUCAAGCACAAUAAGAAAGGUCAUGUCCACUAGGAUAGGAUG